rnacentral:tRNA from 1 species
GGGCGCUUAGCUCAGCUGGCUAGAGCGCGGUCCUGAUAAGACCGAGGCCCAUGGUUCGAGCCCAUGAGCGCCCA